AUCGCUUCUCGGCCUUUUGGCUAAGAUCAAGUGUAGAAUGGUCCAAAGUGAGAAUAAUUCAGAAGUGGAAAAUGGUUUAAAAAGUGGCAUGAUAAGUGAGAGAAGUUACCAUGGAAAUUCCUCAUUGAGUUUUUUCAUUGUUGAUGUUAGGGAAAUUGUUU
rnacentral:snRNA from 1 species